UACAGAGGUCUCAAGCGUUGUUCGGAUUCAUUGGGCGUAAAGGGUGUGUAGGUGGCGCGCUGAAGUCGGGUGUGAAAUUUCGGAAGCUUAACUCCGAAACUGCAUUCGAUACUGGCGUGCUUGAGGACUGGAGAGGAGACUGGAAUUCAUGGUGUAGCAGUGAAAUGCGUAGAGAUCAUGAGGAAGACCAGUGGCGAAGGCGGGUCUCUGGACAGUUCCUGACAGCUGAGACACGAAGGCCCAGGGGAGCAAACGGG
rnacentral:rRNA from 1 species